rnacentral:rRNA from 1 species
UACGUAGGGUGCAAGCGUUAAUCGGAAUUACUGGGCGUAAAGGGCGCGCAGGCGGCCUUAGAAGUCAGAUGUGAAAGCCCCGGGCUCAACCUGGGAAUGGCAUUUGAUACUCUGAGGCUGGAGUACGGGAGAGGAGAGUGGAAUUCCCAGUGUAGAGGUGAAAUUCGUAGAUAUUGGGAAGAACACCGGUGGCGAAGGCGGCUCACUGGCUCAUUACUGACGCUCAGGCGCGAUAGCGUGGGGAGCAAACAGG